AGGCCAGUAGCUCAAUUGGUAGAGCACCGGUCUCCAAAACCGGCGGUUACGGGUUCGAUUCCUGUCUGGCCUGCCA
rnacentral:tRNA from 1 species